UAGGGAAUCUUCCGCAAUGGACGAAAGUCUGACGGAGCAACGCCGCGUGAGUGAAGAAGGAUUUCGGUUCGUAAAACUCUGUUGUUAGGGAAGAAAAAAUGUAUAGUAACUAUAUACAAAAGAGACGGUACCUAACCAGAAAGCCACGGCUAACUACGUGCCAGCAGCCGCGGUAAUACGUAGGUGGCAAGCGUUGUCCGGAAUUAUUGGGCGUAAAGCGCGCGCAGGUGGUUUAGAAAGUCUGAUGUGAAAGCCCACGGCUCAACCGUGGAGGGUCAUUGGAAACUGGGAAGCUUGAGUACAGAAGAGGAAAGUGGAACUCCAUGUGUAGCGGUGGAAUGCGUAGAUAUAUGGAAGAACACCAGUGGCGAUAGCGACUUUCUGGUCUGUCACUGACGCUGAGGCCCGAAAGCGUGGGUAGCAAACAGG
rnacentral:rRNA from 1 species